rnacentral:rRNA from 1 species
UACGGAGGGUGCGAGCGUUGUCCGGAAUCACUGGGCGUAAAGGGCGCGUAGGCGGCGCGGGGAGUCAACGGUGAAAGCUCGGCGCUCAACGCCGAGUCGGCCGUCGAUACUCCCCGUGCUCGAGCACUGUAGAGGCAGGUGGAAUUCCGGGUGUAGGCGGUGGAAUGGCGUAGAGAUCCGGAAGAACACCGGUGGCGAAGGGCGGCCUGC